rnacentral:rRNA from 1 species
CCUACGGGGGGCAGCAGUGGGGAAUAUUGGACAAUGGGGGCAACCCUGAUCCAGCCAUGCCGCGUGUGUGAAGAAGGCCCUCGGGUUGUAAAGCACUUUCAGUGAGGAAGAACGCCUGGUGGUUAAUACCCAUCAGGAAAGACAUCACUCACAGAAGAAGCACCGGCUAACUCCGUGCCAGCAGCCGCGGUAAUACGGAGGGUGCGAGCGUUAAUCGGAAUUACUGGGCGUAAAGCGCGCGUAGGUGGCUUGAUAAGCCGGUUGUGAAAGCCCCGGGCUCAACCUGGGAACGGCAUCCGGAACUGUCCAGCUAGAGUGCAGGAGAGGAAGGUAGAAUUCCCGGUGUAGCGGUGAAAUGCGUAGAGAUCGGGAGGAAUACCAGUGGCGAAGGCGGCCUUCUGGACUGACACUGACACUGAGGUGCGAAAGCGUGGGUAGCAAACAGGAUUAGAUACCCCGGUAGUC